AGUUUUACAACCUGAACAGUUAAAACAUCCUGGUGCUAUUCACAUUAGCGUUGAGUUACAUUUUUAAUUCUUGAACCAAAGAGCAGUUUUCUUUUGGUUGACUGAGAGCUUCUUAUGUUCGUGUCUGAAGAAGUGAACAGUCUUGACAGCUUACAUUCAGCAGAGUCAAUUGAAAUGAAUCUACCUAGACUCAUUUUUAUUUUGUUGUGCAGAUUAGUGUGGGCUUUACUUUUGUACUUAUGUGGCUACUUUAUAAGGUAUUUCAAUAGGCUGAAGCUACUGAAGAUUAGAGAAUCACUUUUCAAAAGUUCCCCCCUCCCUUGGUCUUCUUACUUCAGCAGUGAAGAAAAAAUUAUUUCUAUAAGCAAAGUAAUUCUAUUGGACACUUUUAACAUUUGCUCAACCAGAUGCUAAAAUAAAGGGCAAAUAAUGGGUCCAUUUUUAUUUACAAGUCAAGAAUUUAGUAUCUCUGUGUGUGGGGGUGUAUAAUCCGUAAUGGCUUUAAAUAAUGAUACAGGUAUUUGCUUAUUUUGACAAUGAGAAUGAAAUUAAAAGACACUUUAAAACAUAAAAAUCACAAACACAUGCAUACACAAACACUUUCCCAGUAGGAGGCCUAAAGGUACAUUGAUUUAAGCCAACACCCUGACAGUUGAACUUCACAUCAAAAGCAGUUCCGCUGCUCACCAUAUGUGAAGAUUAGAGUUUGAUUGUUUUACAGACUAAUUUUUUCAGUGAUUUAUUUUACAUAGCUGGCAGACCAGAGUCCUGGAUAGAUCGUCCAGCUGUGGUACCGCUGCUCACGAUCGACUUCCCUGUGCUUCCCCUGAAGCUCUACACACACUUAUCAGUGUUUCCUCAGAGAGAAGCUGCCAGGGCUGAUCGCUCAGCCAAGCAAGUAACCAUGCAGCUGACUGGGAAAGUAGACAGUCGUGGAAAUGCUUGUGUCGUUUCCAGCAGCUUCAGUCUGUGUCUCCUUCUGAAUGAAAAAAAAAAAAAAACCAAUCAAUCCUAAAACUUGAAAGGUGACGAGCUCAUGAGCAUGAGGUGUUUAUAGAUGAGCAGUUAGACAGGAAGCAGGGGAGGGCAGCACUGUGGCUCUUGUGAGAAUGUUGCCACUGGAGUGUGUCUUAAUAAGCCCAUUGCUUGUCCAUUGCUUAAAAGGCAGAGUGUAGGAAAUUUUUCUCAAGUAGGAAAAGAGAGAAUUUGCCACUGCUUGCUGUCUCCUGGUGUGAUUAUUAAAAAGCAAAGAAAAAACCAACAUAAAAUAAAAGCAACUAAAGAUAUAGAAAGAAGAAAUUCAUCCCCAUCAGAGAUUUUCGGAUGAAUGGGUUGUAAGCCCAAGGACAGACAGAGGAAAACAGAGUGCAGGGAAUUAGUCUGGCUAGUUUAAUCACUAACAACACCUGUGUCAUUCUGAUGCUCCGAAAACUUGCUAUCUGCUCCAAUUCUCACACAUCCCUAAUUGAAAAACACUGCUUGAGUUUUAAUAAUGAUGUGUACUGUAGGUACCUAGGAAGACCCUGUCUUGAAAGUUGCUGGGUGUGCUUUUCAUUCAGCUAAACUAUGUGUACGUCUGAGGGCCGUUCGCCUGCCUCGUCUGCUGUUUUGUUUUUGUCUCUUAGCCUAGGAAAUCUUCACUAACAUUUCCAGUGCUAGUGGUAAUAAGGAAGAGAGUGGGUAAGAGACUUGUGAGCACUCUGAGGAGAGGGAGGGAGUUGACAGGUGGGUGGGAACUACGAGGUAUAUGUAAUUGUUUAGAUGAGAUGUCUACACUGGUUCUUCUAAUGAAAAUGGACUAUGUAUCUACCUUAAGAACAACAUUGCUUUUAAUAUUUAUUUUAGUGAUUUUGUUUUAUUCAUGUGAUACUCUAUAUUCUUUGCAAAUUGCUUUUAAUUUAAAUUGUGGAAUUUUUACUUCUCUUGAAAUGUACUAUGUACUGUAUUUUUAGAAAUCUUAUUUUUAAAUAAAUAUUUUUGAAAAAC
rnacentral:lncRNA from 1 species